GAUCAUGGCUCAGGAUGAACGCUAGCGACAGGCUUAACACAUGCAAGUCGAGGGGCAGCAUUAUAUGUAGCAAUACAAAUAGAUGGCGACCGGCGCACGGGUGAGUAACGCGUAUGCAACCUACCUAUCAGAGGGGGAUAACCCGGCGAAAGUCGGACUAAUACCGCAUAAAACAGGGGUCCCGCAUGGGAAUAUUUGUUAAAGAUUAAUUGCUGAUAGAUGGGCAUGCGUUCCA
rnacentral:rRNA from 1 species